rnacentral:lncRNA from 1 species
UUUAUUGCAGCAAUUUUACAAAUACUUUUUGUUAUGAGUGAUUUUGAAGAUUUUAAAGGUCGAAUAAUGUUGGGAGGAGCCAUAAGUUAUCAAUUGCAAUAACAAAGCGACGUCAAAAUAUUGGGAUGAAGAUGUUUUUAAGAAGUUUCAAAGAAUUCUAUGUUUGUUUACUCCUCUUUUGUUGCUUCACAUUUUUUCUUGUUCUGUUCUGUUGAUUUUGUUUGUUUAUUUUCUCCUAGAAGUUAUAUGAGUACAUACAUUCAUAUAUAUAAUCAGUUAGUCUUGAUUUUGGUGCUAAAAUACUUUAUGAUUAUUGACAGGCAUUUAGUGUAAUUAAAGCAUAUGAGUGACAUUCUAAGAUGGAGAUGUUGAUCAAGCUAAUGUUGUUGAAGAUCGUGGAAGAAGAGAUAGGAGAAGAUUAUGUUGCUUUGGACUCGAACAAGAUGGUGUCGUAAAAGAAUUAUACAUUAAGAUUAUUUUUGGAAUUUUAAAAUGCAAUUAUAUAUAAUUUGAGAAGUGUUUUGGAAUCUCAAAAAUGCAUUUGUAGCUACAUUAUAUAAUUCUUGUAACUUAUAAAGCUUGUGUAAAUUCUUCAAUAGAGAUGAAAUUAUUGAAUGCAGCCAUAUAUACAUGUAUAUAAUUCUCAUUUGUAAUUUUCACCUAACAAGAACAUGUAUAUAAUUGUUUAUUUUUCGUAGCAAA